UCUGACGGAGCACGCCGCGUGAGUGAUGAAGGUUUUCGGAUCGUAAAACUCUGUUGUUAGGGAAGAACAAGUUGGGUAGUAACUGACCCAACCUUGACGGUACCUAACCAGAAAGCCACGGCUAACUACGUGCCAGCAGCCGCGGUAAUACGUAGGUGGCAAGCGUUGUCCGGAAUUAUUGGGCGUAAAGCGCUCGCAGGCGGUCUUUUAAGUCUGAUGUGAAAGCCCACGGCUUAACCGUGGAGGGUCAUUGGAAACUGGAGGACUUGAGUACAGAAGAGGAGAGUGGAAUUCCACGUGUAGCGGUGAAAUGCGUAGAGAUGUGGAGGAACACCAGUGGCGAAGGCGACUCUCUGGUCUGUAACUGACGCUGAGGAGCGAAAGCGUGGGUAGCGAACAGGAUUAGAUACCCUGGUAGUCCACGCCGUACCCGAUGAGUGCUAGG
rnacentral:rRNA from 1 species